rnacentral:rRNA from 1 species
GACGGAGGGUGCAAGCGUUAUUCGGAAUCAUUGGGCGUAAAGAGCGUGUAGGCGGCCGGUCAAGUCAGAGGUGAAAGCCCAGGGCUUAACCCUGGAAGUGCCUUUGAAACUGGUCGGCUUGAGUUCGGGAGAGGAAAGCGGAAUUCCGGGUGUAGAGGUGAAAUUCGUAGAUAUCCGGAGGAACACCGGUGGCGAAGGCGGCUUUCUGGACCGAAACUGACGCUGAGACGCGAAAGCGUGGGGAGCAAACAGG